rnacentral:lncRNA from 1 species
GAUAAGCACAGAUUCAUAGACCAGCAAAGACUAAGGAAAUAAAACAUAAUAAAGGGAGGGAGUGUUUUAACAGUAGUUGAAAAGAUCAUGCAUGGCACCCCUCUUGAUCCUCUUAGCUGCCAUACCUACACUGUCAUUGUGUUACCAGCCAGGGGAGGUAAUGGAAGUGGUAUUUUUCACAGAACUGCAGAGGUUUUGAACGUAUUUGUAACAUUACUUUGAGUACACCUGAGCAAAAGUUCUGAAGUAUAUCCAAGACCCCAAGUGCUCGUCACAUCAAGGGUUGAGAGUUAUUGGAGGUUAUCUUCAAACUUCAGUGCAAUCUGUUCCCAUGGUCCAUUUUGAUGGUCCAUUUGAUAGGGUUUAAAAACAGGCAGAAACAAUUGCUUUAGCACUUUCUUAUGUCCUUUGCCUGCUAAUUUUGUCUUUCAAAAGUACGUUUGCUUCUGAGUAUUUAAUUGGCCAAAAGAUAGCUGCUUUGGGAACUGUUUAUAUCCCUUUGAAGGCUAUGGCCUGCACUUUAAAAAUAACCUAGGUCUAUUUUGCCCAGCAUGAGUGUUAGGGAUGAGAGAAUGCAGUUAUUUUAGGAUCCUUAGAAAUUGCUUCGUUUAUGGCACAGUGGGCUGACAACCCAUCUCAUGGGAGUCUUCAUGGCACACUGCUCAUAGACUCUGUAAAGUCCCAAUCCAAUUUUGUCUCUUGGUGCCAUAGGUUCCCACUGCUAGCUAUCACAGCUUGAUACUACAUUCUCCUUUCAACUCCAGAGGAGAUGGUAAGAAGCUAUCAAAUAAUGUUUUAAGAAAGCAACUUGAAUUCCCUUGUAGAAAGGAAAUAAAUAUAUGCUGCAUAAUUAUAUGUACAAUGUAAGACAUGUUAAAAACUCCUCUGAGAAGAAAAUUCAAGCACAUUUACGACUAUGUAAAUUAAGAGACUUCAUUCUAUU